CAAGAAAAUGACGAAAGCAAGCUUAAUGUCACGCCCCGCCUAUGGAGGUUGUGCCACGCAGGCGACACGCAGACGCUGAGGAGGACGCUGCAUGGCAACUGCAUGGCAAGUGGAGUUUCUAGAGUCUUCCGGAAUAGUCUAGAGUUAUGUGGAAGAUUCUAGAUAUGUGUAGAAAUGUGUAGAAGUGUGUGGAAGGUUCUAGAGUUCUCCAGAGUUGUGUGGAGUAGUAUGGAGAAUUCUAGAAUGUUGUAGAUACUAGUAGAUAAGUAUGGAAGUGUGAAGAAGGUGGGAGAAGAUUCUAGAUAAUCAAUCUCCACCGUUGGUUAGAAUGCAUCCUAGCCGUCCAUUAGGGAUGGGGAUGCCUAUAAAUAGAGGUAGGACUUCAUUUUGCAGGGAACAAGUCCUGGAGUGAGUCUUGAGAGCCUUGUAGAGAGCUUGAGUGUUAGCCUUGUACAAAGCAUUCUUUGAAGUAAUAGAAGUGUUUUUUCCUUGCCAACUUAAGUGCCUUAGUGUGUGUGAGUGUGCAAGCCAAGUAAGGAGAGGGCGAGGGCAACUACAACACUAGUAAGCGCACGAGGAGAGUGUGUUGGCUAAGGUGUGCACGGGAGUUAGGUUGACCAAGUACUUGCGAGAGUGAAAGCAACGUCUUGGUGCCGCACAGGAGCAGCUAGAGUGGUGCUGAAACUCUAAGCCCGUGACAUUAAGCUCUAGAUACGUGAGUAAAACAGCAAGGAAACAAACAAAACAAAAGAAGAUGUGAUGUAUGUGAGAAAAGAGAGAGACAAGCAAGAAAAUGACAGAAGCAAGGUUCAAGGGCGAUAAAGUUAAAAUGAGUUAAGAACGGUCCAUUAAAGCCUUUUUGGAGUCAAGCAAAGAUAUUCAGAAAAAGUUCAGAAAAUGACAAAAAGAGGUCGUAGCCCAUUGCUCGUAUAGUGUGUUUAUUCUUCGAAAGUGGUAAAUCUCGAGCCUUUGAUGAUGUUUCCAAAGAUGAAGAAGCAAACCAAUUAGCCCGGAGCCAAGAUAGAGCUAAAUAAGGCUUAAAGGAAAUUUCCAACUCUUGGGGGAUCGAUUCCCCAGGGUGGGGGAUCGAUCCCCCAGGACUUGGCAACAUUACAGAUUUUUUUUUAUUGUUUGGGCUUAUUUUGUGAACUAUUGGGCUUCAAUAGGGUUGUUACUUAAGGCCCAGUGAGCCAUUAGAUUAGGGUUAGUAUUUAUUUUAUUUAGGUGAAUAUUAUUUUUUGAUUAAGUUUUUUUAGUAUUCUGUAUCGAUAUUUUUAUUCUCUGGAAAAACACGGGAAAGAGGAGAAAAAGCAAGAACAGGCUGGGGUUUUGAGAAGAAGCUCAGAGAUGAUGAAUCCAAGGAUGGAGAUUAUUCUAUCUUCAACUCCAUCAACCAUGAGUGGCUAAUUCUCCUACUUAGGGUUGGAUAAACCCUAAGCAUGUAACCUAUUCUCUCUCUCUUUUCAUACUUUUUGGGGAUUUAUUUAUGUAAUUGAUGUAUAGGCUUGAAUAACAUGAUUUAAUUCUUUCAAUUGUUUAUUCGUAUUAA